rnacentral:rRNA from 1 species
GUAAGGAAUAUUGGACAAUGGAGGCAACUCUGAUCCAGCCAUGCCGCGUGAAGGAUGACGGCCCUACGGGUUGUAAACUUCUUUUCUACUAGAAAAAACAUUUGGUUUCGUACCAGAUCUGAUUGUACAGUAGGAAUAAGCAUCGGCUAACUUCGUGCCAGCAGCCGCGGUAAUACGAAGGAUGCAAGCGUUAUCCGGAUUCACUGGGUUUAAAGGGUGUGCAGGUGGGGCAAUAAGUCAGUGGUGAAAUCCCCCGACUCAAUCGGGGAACUGCCAUCGAUACUGUUGUUCUUGAGUGUAGUUGAGGCAGAUGGAAUAUGACAUGUAGCGGUGAAAUGCUUAGAUAUGUCAUAGAACACCAAUCGCGAAGGCAGUCUGCCAAACUAUUACUGACACUGAAACACGAAAGUGCGGGGAUCAAACAGG